AGAUUGAACGCUGGCGGCAUGCCUUACACAUGCAAGUCGAACGGCAGCACGGGAGCAAUCCUGGUGGCGAGCGGCGAACGGGUGAGUAAUAUAUCGGAACGUGCCCAGUCGUGGGGGAUAACGCAGCGAAAGCUGUGCUAAUACCGCAUACGAUCUAUGGAUGAAAGCGGGGGAUCGCAAGACCUCGCGCGAUUGGAGCGGCCGAUAUCAGAUUAGCUAGUUGGUGGGGUAAAAGCCUACCAAGGCGACGAUCUGUAGCUGGUCUGANAGGACGACAGCCACACUGGAACUGAGACACGGUCCAGACUCCUACGGGAGCAACAGUGGGGAAUUUGGACAAUGGGCGCAAGCCUGAUCCAGCAAUGCCGCGUGCAGGAU
rnacentral:rRNA from 1 species